AACGAACGCUGGCGGCAUGCCUAACACAUGCAAGUCGAACGAUUGCCUUCGGGUGAUAGUGGCGCACGGGUGCGUAACGCGUGGGAAUCUGCCCUUAGGUUCGGAAUAACAGCUGGAAACGGCUUCUAAUACCGGAUGAUAUCGCGAGAUCAAAGAUUUAUCGCCUGAGGAUGAGCCCGCGUUGGAUUAGGUAGUUGGUGGGGUAAAGGCCUACCAAGCCGACGAUCCAUAGCUGGUCUGAGAGGAUGAUCAGCCACACUGGGACUGAGACACGGCCCAGACUCCUACGGGAGGCAGCAGUGGGGAAUAUUGGACAAUGGGCGCAAGCCUGAUCCAGCAAUGCCGCGUGAGUGAUGAAGGCCCUAGGGUUGUAAAGCUCUUUUACACGGGAAGAUAAUGACUGUACCGGGAGAAUAAGCCCCGGCUAACUCCGUG
rnacentral:rRNA from 1 species